GUGAUCCAGAAGACACACUUCUCCAAUACUUUACGGUAUGAGUUUGGUCACCGGUGAGAUGGCUGUGAUUGACAGGUGUAUUAGCCAAUCAGGUACAUGGAUGGUCUGUCUGUAUCAAAACAAAUAUGGCUGCUCAUGAAGAAAAAAAAAAUCAAUGAAAAAUGCAAAAGUAUCACAGGCGAUUUCUGCAAAAUUAAUGAGCAAAGCACUAUUGUUCAUCUGAUGGAGAGAAAUGUCAUUUUGUCUGUAAAUGAUUGGUAACCAAUCGGCUUCUUUGUUUCACAUCAAUCUGAUUGGUUGAUCAUGUUUGGCUCUGGCUUGAGAAGCGACGGAGGGAGUGGUGACCAGACUCCGUCUGUAUCUGUUUUUUUAUACAGAGGGAUAUCUGGUCAGACAGAGGUAUGAGUCUGGAGAAAUCCUGUCACUGUCCUCCAACAAAGAGUGAGAUGAGAUCAUAGACCCUGAACACACCCUACUGUAAAGCAUGUAAAUAAACUGCAUUUCCAAGUAAAUCUGAAGGACCAAUGUUUGUCAAAGCUGAACCUGUGUGUUUUAAAGUGCAUAUGACUGAUUAGACCACACAUUUUACUACACCAUAAAUAACUUAAGUUUUAAGUAUGUUGUUGAAGUUUAUAAUUUUACUUCCUGGUAGGACACACGCAGCUGAUGUGGAAUUACCUUCAUACAUAUGUGUAUGUCAGUUACCUAGCAGACAUAUUGAAAACUUGGGCCAGAAAAGUGUCAGAAAAAUGUCUUCCUUGUGUGUAAACUGGAUGGAUUUGAUGACAGUUGAUGACACGAUCUGGUACAAUCCCACCAAACCAAGUCAGAAUUAGAAAAAUAUAUUAAUCUGUCAAAUGCACUUUAAAUUCAUGUUUGGCAAACACUUUAUGAAUGUUUUGGCACAUUUAAGAUUUGUAUUUGAGAUUAGUCUUGCAGUGUUUUACCAGCUGUAGAACAAUAAACAUUUGAAUCUAAUGUGAGUCAACACACAUCACUACACUUAUUAGAG
ensembl:lncRNA